rnacentral:rRNA from 1 species
UACAGAGGUCUCAAGCGUUGUUCGGAUUCAUUGGGCGUAAAGGGUGUGUAGGUAGCGCGCUAAGUCGGGUGUGAAAUCUCGGAGCUUAACUCCGAAACUGCAUUCGAUACUGCCGUGCUUGAGGACUGGAGAGGAGACUGGAAUUUACGGUGUAGCGGUGAAAUGCGUAGAUAUCGUAAGGAAGACCAGUGGCGAAGGCGGGGUCUCUGGACAGUUCCUGACGCUGAGGCACGAAGGCCAGGGGAGCAAAACGGGG